UUGGUAGGGUAAGGGCCUACCAAGGCAACGAUCAGUAGCCGGACUGAGAGGUUGACCGGCCACAUUGGGACUGAGAUACGGCCCAGACUCCUACGGGAGGCAGCAGUGGGGAAUAUUGGGCAAUGGGGGCAACCCUGACCCAGCAACGCCGCGUGAAGGAAGAAGGCUUUCGGGUUGUAAACUUCUUUGACCAGGGAAGAAAACAAUGACUGUACCUGGAAAACAGGCCACGGCUAACUACGUGCCAGCAGCCGCGGUAAUACGUAGGUGGCGAGCGUUGUCCGGAAUUACUGGGUGUAAAGGGCGCGUAGGCGGGGCUGCAAGUCAGAUGUGAAAUCUGGGGGCUUAACCCUCAAACCGCAUUUGAAACUGUGGCUCUUGAGUGAUGGAGAGGCAGGCGGAAUUCCUAGUGUAGCGGUGAAAUGCGUAGAUAUUAGGAGGAACACCAGUGGCGAAGGCGGCCUGCUGGACAUUAACUGACGCUGAGGCGCGAAAGCGUGGGGAGCAAACAGGAUUAGAUACCCUGGUAGUCCACGCUAUAAACGAUGAAUACUAGGUGUGGGGGGACUGACCCCCUCCGU
rnacentral:rRNA from 1 species